UACGAAGGGGGCUAGCGUUGUUCGGAUUCACUGGGCGUAAAGCGUGCGUAGGCGGUUUGUUAAGUCAGAGGUGAAAUCCCGAGGCUCAACCUCGGAACUGCCUUUGAUACUGGCUGUCUUGAGUCCGGAAGAGGUGAGUGGAACUCCUAGUGUAGAGGUGAAAUUCGUAGAUAUUAGGAAGAACACCAGUGGCGAAGGCGGCUCACUGGCCCGAAACUGACGCUGAGGUACGAAAGCGUGGGGAGCAAACAGG
rnacentral:rRNA from 1 species